rnacentral:rRNA from 1 species
UAGUGAGUUUGAUCCUGGCUCAGAUUGAACGCUGGCGGCAUGCUUUACACAUGCAAGUCGAACGGCAGCGCGGGGCAACCUGGCGGCGAGUGGUGAACGGGUGAGUAAUAUAUCGGAACGUACCCAAGAGUGGGGGAUAACCGUAGCGAAAGUUACGCUAAUACCGCAUACGAUCCAUGGAUGAAAGCAGGGGACCGCAAGGCCUUGUGCUCCUGGAGUCGGCCGAUAUCUGAUUAGCUAGUUGGUGAGGUAAAGGCUC